GAUGAACGCUGGCGGCGUGCCUAAUACAUGCAAGUCGAGCGAACGGACGAGAAGCUUGCUUCUCUGAUGUUAGCGGCGGACGGGUGAGUAACACGUGGAUAACCUACCUAUAAGACUGGGAUAACUUCGGGAAACCGGAGCUAAUACCGGAUGAUAUUUUGAACCGCAUGGUUCAAAAGUGAAAGACGGUCUUGCUGUCACUUAUAGAUGGAUCCGCGCUGCAUUAGCUAGUUGGUAAGGUAACGGCUUACCAAGGCAACGAUGCAUAGCCGACCUGAGAGGGUGACCAGCCACACUGGAACUGAGACACGGUCCAGACUCCUACGGGAGGCAGCAGUAGGGAAUCUUCCGCAAUGGGCGAAAGCCUGACGGAGCAACGCCGCGUGAGUGAUGAAGGUCUUCGGAUCGUAAAACUCUGUUAUUAGGGAAGAACAUAUGUGUAAGUAACUGUGCACAUCUUGACGGUACCUAAUCAGAAAGCCACGGCUAACUACGUG
rnacentral:rRNA from 1 species